GAGGUGAAGGUGGGUGUGAAGGCGGGGAGAGGAGAGAGGGGGAGUGAGUUCAAAUGAUUGUGAUGGAGAGGGUGUCGGGUAAUGAAGGGACAAGAUGACACGCACGGCUGCGUGGGGGUGGAGGGCCCCACAGGCGGGGUGGUAACAGUAUAGGAGUGAGAGACCACGUGUCUACCAGCAAAACAUGUUGGUCCACGUGAGUCGGGGUUGAGGUUUUACUUCCACGCUUCCUUCAUUUUCGCCCACCUCCCCCACCUCUCCUCCCACGUGAACUCCACUCUCCCUUGUCUCCUUUCCCUCUCCCCUGGCCCCACACGUGCUCCCCCC
rnacentral:lncRNA from 1 species